UACAUGUCCAAUGUGGAGAGUGCCCUGAAA
rnacentral:piRNA from 2 species